rnacentral:misc_RNA from 1 species
UACCCAUGGGGCCGCCGCAACAACCAACUAUCGCUCCACCACCUCCACAAGCUCUCCCCCAGCAAUAUCAGCAAGCUCCCCCACAGCCUUACAUGAUGAUGAUGCCUCAACUGCCCCAGUCCCAGCCUCCUCCACCAGCUAUGUGGGCUCACCAGCCUUCGAUGCCUCCCGCGGCCGCGCCACCGCAGCAGCAACAAUUCCAGCACGCCCAGCAACAGCAACCGGGUCAACCUGCUAGUGCUGAUGAGAUCCGUACGCUUUGGAUCGGGGAUUUGCAGUACUGGAUGGAUGAGAAUUAUCUUCACAGCUGCUUCGCUCACACUGGAGAGGUUGUUUCUGUUAAAGUCAUUCGUAAUAAGCAAACUGGUCAAGUAGAAGGUUAUGGCUUUAUUGAGUUUACCAGUCAUGGGCCUGCAGAAAGAAUAUUGCAGACAUACAAUGGUACCCCCAUGCCAAAUGGUGAGCAGAACUUCAGGCUGAACUGGGCAUCUUUUAGUGGGGGUGAUAAGCGGGAUGAUACUCCUGACUUCACAAUAUUUGUUGGAGACUUGGCUGCUGAUGUUACAGAUUACCAACUACAAGAGACAUUCAGGGUCCGCUAUCCUUCAGUUAAGGGUGCAAAAGUUGUUAUUGAUAGGCUCACAGGACGCACAAAGGGCUAUGGUUUUGUUAGAUUUGGAGAUGAAAGUGAACAGUUACGUGCUAUGACUGAGAUGAAUGGAGCUUUCUGUUCAACAAGACCUAUGCGAAUAGGGCUAGCUACAAACAAGAAAGCAGUGGCUGGCCAGCAGUAUCCUAAAGCUUCAUAUCAGAAUCCUCAGAGUGAGAAUGAGAACGACCCAAAUAAUACAACUGUGGGUACUUUAAUCUAUUUUUAUAUAGUAAUUAUUACGUUGCAACUUGUUUAUGAUUUGCACAAAUUUCAAAACAGAUAUUUGUUGGUAAUUUGGAUUCUAACGUGACGGAUGACCAUUUGAGAGAGCUUUUUGGCCAAUAUGGGCAAUUGUUACAUGUAAAGAUACCAGCAGGCAAGCGAUGUGGGUUUGUUCAGUUUGCUGACAGGAGCUGUGCAGAGGAAGCAUUGCGAAUGUUAAAUGGAGCUCAGUUGAGUGGACAAAAUAUUCGGCUUUCAUGGGGGCGAAGUCCUUCAAACAAACAGGCACAGCCAGAUCAAAGCCAGUGGAAUGGAGGAUAUUAUGGAUAUGCGCAAGGAUAUGAUGCAUAUGGAUAUGCUCCUUCUCAAGAUCCUAACAUGUAUUAUGGUGGCUAUCCUGGAUAUGGAAAUUACCAGCAACCAGGAACUUACCAACAGCCGCAGCAGGUUUACCAACAGCCGCAGCAGGUUAGUUAAAAAUAACAAGUUUAGAACUUUCAGUUUGUUGUUCAAUUAGUUAAAUAGGAUUACCAAUCUACCAUAGCACUUCUGGCGGAAAAGGCAAGUUAGUAUUUAGAAAGGCACUUCAUGUUUAUUUUCCUGAUAGCUGGGUACUGAUCGCUGUUUUCUCAUUUAUUCUAUAUUCGAACAUGAUCUAAAUCAUAUCCUUGUAGGUUGUUUGUUUAUUAUUUAUGUAUGCAUUGAUAUAUUCUUAUAUUUCUUCUAUACACACAGUGAUCUGUUCUGUUCUGUUCUGUUGCUGGAUGAAGUGCAAAGUUGGCCCUAAUCCUCCGCAGUUGUUUGCGUCCGCAGACUGUUGUACAUUGCUUGGUGUUUGGAACUAGGCUUUAUACUAUUAUGCUUUAGCGUUAGUUUAUUGAUGAGUGAUGAUUUAGUGUGUUUGAGGCAUCAUCUGUGGGCGUUACUACUUCCGAUACUAUGAAACAUCCUUAAUCUGUCAGAUAUUGCUCUUGUGCUGUGUCCAAUGCAAUUCCAUACUUUAUUUUUAAUUUAUUAUAUAUUGUUUGUGCGCUA